AACGAACGCUGGCGGCAUGCCUAACACAUGCAAGUCGAACGAAACCUUCGGGUCUAGUGUCGCACGGGUGCGUAACGCGUGGGAACCUGCCCUUAGGUUCGGCAUACCUCCCCGAAUGGGGUGCUAAUACCGGAUAAUGUCUUCGGCCCAAAGAUUUAUCGCCUUUGGAUGGUCCCGCGUUGGAUUAGCUAUUUGGUAGGGUAAAAGCCUACCAAGGCGACGAUCCAUAGCUGGUUUGAGAGGAUGAUCAGCCACACUGGGACUGAGACACGGCCCAGACUCCUACGGGAGGCAGCAGUGGGGAAUAUUGGAAAAUGGGCGAAAGGCUGAACCAGCAAUGCCGCGUGAGUGAUGAAGGCCUUAGGGUUGUAAAGCUCUUUUACCCGGGAUGAUAAUGACAGUACCGGGAGAAUAAGCUCCGGCUAACUCCGUG
rnacentral:rRNA from 1 species